CACAUUUAUUAAAAGCCAGAAGCUAGAAGACGAGGAAAGAAGAGAUGCAGCUGGAGAGCCUGGGGUGAGAACAUGAGCAGUCUAUAAUCAGAAAAUCCCUUUGGGAUAAAUUGACAAAAAUAUAAACCACUCCACAAAGGAGAAAUUGUAAAUGAGUUGUUAUGUAAAACCUCCCAGCGAAAGAAAUAGUCCAGAAAGCUUGAAGAGAAACUGAAAUUUGAAAAAUCUACCUAAAAAGGUGAUAAAGGAUUUUCAGUUUUGCAAAAAACGCAAUACAGAGUGUCUUUGGAAAGAAAGUUCUCAUAUGGAUUUAAAAUAUGAUUCAAUUUACAGAAGUCAGAGUUGUUCUUCCAGAUGGCAUGAAUCCAACAGUGAAGAAAUCAGAAUACGUUGCUUUUGUGAGGGGCAGCUGCUGAUUUUCUCUGAGCUCCGUUUCCAGCCUUCACAUGCUCUGCUAUUCAUCACAGGGUAAAUUCUGACUAUAGGAGGUACUGACAGAAGAUUAGGGAAGAACAGAGGGCUAAAUGUUUAUUGACUUCUUGAAAAAUGCUAUGUGUCUUGCCAGACUUAGCUUACAAGUUUGGUUAAAGAGAGACUGACAUGAGCAUAAAGGAAGGGACAUUGAAAGAGGCAGAGAUGAAGGAAGAAAUUGUAACUUACUCCUUUUAUCCCACCCAUCAAAGGAAAGACAAGUUGACAUUCCCAGGGUGGAUGGAUCCAGGCAGGACAGGAUCAGAAGUUGCAGUCUUAAUUGCACCAACUCACGCAUGUCACCAGCCGAGUAGUAUUGAUUCUGCAACAAACUGAGAAGAAACCUGGCGAUUCACAACAGAGAGCUGAGAAAUCCUAAGUCUGGAUUCCAGCUAAAUGGGAGCAGACUAAAUAGAGCGGCAGUCGGCGAACUACAUGUAGCCCAUGAACAAAAUCCGGUCCAGCACGUGUGUUUUUUUUUACGGCCCACAAAUGAGUCUGUCUUUACAGAUGAAUGUUAAAACUGGGUUGACAAGAGAGAACACUCACUUUGAACCGCAACUAAACAAAAUAUUAUCACCUUUCCCCUCAAAAAAGGUUUUUGUUCUUCUCAUUAGUAAAUUUGUAUUAUGACAAAA
rnacentral:lncRNA from 1 species